GACUGCUACGAGCUGCGUGGCCGACCUGUCACAUCAGGCUAAGAACCAACAGAACUUAACUAAGCGCGUUUCCUGAUGGCGGUUCGCAAGACGUGAGUAGCAUACGGCGCACAAGAUAAUCUGCUGGGGGAGCUGCAUUAAGCUCGCUUCAGCAGACUACGUGUGCCUGCGUGGUGAUCACUGCCAAAAGUCAUUCGAGCCUAAAUUAAGGACAUAAGGAUAAUUCAACUUAAUUAAGCGCAAAAUUGAUUCGUAAUAACAGGAAAACGUUAUCUUUGUAGUUAAUUUAAUAUAACACUGUACAAUGUAAACUUUAUUAACAAUAAUUUAAUAAACUCUAAGCUGUUAAUUUUUCACUAAACCGUGAAGUGUUCUUAUGUAAACAUGAAUCGAAUAAAUAUUUUUAUUACAUUUGUUUAUAUAAUACCUAUAAAUUUCGGUCAGGGAAUAACACCAUUUUCACCACCAAUAGUGAGUAGUGAAUGCAUGAACCUGGGGUUAUGUGAAACGGUUGAAAAUUACCCGAUAGAUUUAGCAAGGAAACUGAUU